rnacentral:rRNA from 1 species
GGAGAACGUUUUCUUCGGAAAACUAUUAAACUGGCGAACGGGUGAGUAACACGUAGGCAACCUGCCUUGGAGAUUGGGAUAACCCCGGGAAACCGGAGCUAAUACCGAAUAAUGCAACAGGUCCUUCGGGAAAUGUUGUUAAAGCGGGCUUCGGCUCGCACUUCAAGAUGGGCCUGCGCCCGAUUAGCUUGUUGGUAAGGUAACGGCUUACCAAGGCGAUGAUCGGUAGCUGGUCUGAGAGGAUGAUCAGCCACACUGGGAUUGAGAUACGGUCCAGACUCCUACGGGAGGCAGCAGUGGGGAAUUUUGCGCAAUGGGCGAAAAGCCUGACGCAGCAACGCCGCGUGACCCGAUGAAAGCUUUCUAGGAGUGUAAAGGUCUGUCGUGAGGGAAGAAAAAUCCGGAUGUAAAUAAUGUUCGGACCUGACGGUACCUCACAAGAAAGCACCGGCUAACUUCGUGCCAGCAGCCGCGGUAAUACGAGGGGUGCUAGCGUUGUCCGGAAUCACUGGGCGUAAAGGGUCCGUAGGCGUUUUGCUAAGUUGAUUGUUAAAUCCAUCGGCUCAACCGAUGACCUGCAAUCAAAACUGGCAGAAUAGAGUUCGAGAGGGGAAAGUAGAAUUCCUGGUGUAGCGGUGACAUGCGUAGAUAUCAGGAGGAAUACCGAUGGCGAAGGCAGCUUUCUGGCUCGAUACUGACGCUGAGGGACGAAAGCGUGGGGAGCGAACAGGAUUAGAUACCCUGGUAGUCCACGCCGUAAACGAUGAGUACUUGAUGUCGGGGGAUUCGACCCCUUCGGUGUCGUAGCUAACGCGAUAAGUACUCCGCCUGGGGACUACGACCGCAAGGUUGAAACUCAAAGGAAUUGACGGGGACCC